GGCGAACUACGUGCCAGCAGCCGCGGUAAAACGUAGGAGGCUAGCGUUAUCCGGAUUUAUUGGGCGUAAAGCGCGUGCAGGCGGUCUAUCAAGUUGGAUGUGAAAGCUCCUGGCUUAACUGGGAGAGGUCGUUCAAAACUGAUAGACUAGAGAAUGGUAGAGGGAGGUGGAAUUCCGGGUGUAGUGGUGAAAUGCGUAGAUAUCCGGAGGAACACCAGUGGCGAAAGCGGCCUCCUGGGCCAUUUCUGACGCUAAGACGCGAAAGCUAGGGUAGCAAACGGGAUUAGAGACCCCGGUAGUCCUAGCCGUAAACGAUGUGGACUUGGCGUUGGCGGAGUUAAAUCUGCCAGUGCCGUAGCUAACGCGAUAAGUCCACCGCCUGGGGACUACGACCGCAAGGUUAAAACUCAAAGGAAUUGACGGGGACCCGCACAAGCAGCGGAGCGUGUGGUUUAAUUCGAUGCUACACGAAGAACCUUACCAAGGUUUGACAUGUAAGUGGUAGUGAUCUGAAAAGUGAACGACCAUUCGGGGAGCUUACACAGGUGCUGCAUGGCUGUCGUCAGCUCGUGUCGUGAGAUGUUCGGUUAAGUCCGCUAACGAGCGCAACCCUCACUGUGUGUUACAAGUGUCACACGGGACUGCCGGUUUUAAGCCGGAGGAAGGCGAGGAUGACGUCAAGUCAGCAUGGCCUUUAUAUCUUGGGCUACACACACGCUACAAUGGUCUGUACAAUAGGUUGCCAAGCCGCGAGGCGGAGCCAAUCCUAAAAGCAGGCCUCAGUUCAGAUUGCAGGCUGCAACCCGCCUGCAUGAAGAUGGAGUUGCUAGUAACCGCAGGUCAGCUAUACUGCGGUGAAUACGUUCCC
rnacentral:rRNA from 1 species